rnacentral:lncRNA from 10 species
GCCAGGCUGGUCUUGAAGUCCUGACCUCAGGUGAUUCGCCUGCCUAGGCCUCCCAAAGUGAGGGGGUUAUAGGCGGGAUCCACCAUGCCCAGCCUAAACUAUGCUUUUGAUUGUUAUUUUAGAGUGUACUUUGUCUACUUAUUGAAAAAAGAAAAAAAAGUGAACUGUAAAACAGCCUCAAGCAGGUCCUUCAGGAGGUAUCCAGAAGAAGGCAUUGUCAUAGGAGAUGACAGCUCCAUGCGUGUUAUUGCUCCUGAAGACCUUCCUGCCAUUUCUAUGAAAGGUUUUUUACUAAGUGAUUGUCCUUUUUCUUUUGUGGAUCAGGUGCAGAGGAAUCCAAGGUGUAGGGAAUGAAAGAGCCACAAGAUGUAAGAAACCUCAGUUCCUCAAUGUAGACAUGGAAGAAAGCUUCCGGGAGCAGGCUCACUGGAUUUGGUCACAUAAUGAUCACAGAAUAAACUCUUGUGAAUCAGUGAAACUACAAAUGGUACUGCAGAUGGAACCUCGGAUGACUUCAACCAGCACCUAUUAUCAAGGACCCCUAGACUAGCCUGCCAGCCCAUACCCAGAUAUUGACACCCAAACCACCUCUCAUGAGGAAACCUCAGCUGCAGGGACCCUUCUAUGCCCCUACUCAGCAGGAAGCAGUUUCAGCGGUCAUCGUCCCACACCCAACAGCAGUUGGGCUCUCCUGUUGAGAGGGGAGACUGAGGGGUAGAGUUGGUGGGACUUCCUGGGCCGAUUGAAGGACUUUUGCAAAAGACCCCUGUGACUCAGGGUUUUGAGUUCUUAACCAUUCGAGUGAAGGAUUCAAAAUUAACCACUCUGAGGGAAGAUUGAAAAAAGAACCACUCUCAAUGGGCAAAAAGAAAGAAAGGGGAGGGGGUAACAUAGGGAUAUAAGCCCUAGCCAUCCGAGCCAGCAACAGCAACCCUUCUGGGUCCCCAUCCACCACGUGGAAGCUUUCCCUUCACUUUGUUCAAUAAACUGC